rnacentral:rRNA from 1 species
GAUGAACGCUGACAGAAUGCUUAACACAUGCAAGUCAACUUGAACUUCGGUUUGGGUGGCGGACGGGUGAGUAACGCGUAAAGAACUUGCCUCACAGCUAGGGACAACAUUUGGAAACGAAUGCUAAUACCUGAUAUUAUGAUUAUAUGGCAUCGUAUAAUUAUGAAAGCUAUAUGCGCUGUGAGAGAGCUUUGCGUCCCAUUAGCUAGUUGGAGAGGUAACAGCUCACCAAGGCGAUGAUGGGUAGCCGGCCUGAGAGGGUGAUCGGCCACAAGGGGACUGAGACACGGCCCUUACUCCUACGGGAGGCAGCAGUGGGGAAUAUUGGACAAUGGACCGAGAGUCUGGUCCAGCAAUUCUGUGUGCACGAUGAAGUUUUUCGGAAUGUAAAGUGCUUUCAGUUGGGAAGAAAAAAAUGACGGUACCAACAGAAGAAGUGACGGCUAAAUACGUG